GCCUGGGUGGCUUGGUUGGUUGAGCAUCUGACUUUGGCUCAGGUCAUGAUCUCGCAGUCUGUGGGUUCGAGCCCCGUGUCGGGCU
rnacentral:tRNA from 1 species